GAUGAACGCUGGCGGCGUGCCUAAUACAUGCAAGUCGAGCGAACGGACGAGAAGCUUGCUUCUCUGAUGUUAGCGGCGGACGGGUGAGUAACACGUGGAUAACCUACCUAUAAGACUGGGAUAACUUCGGGAAACCGGAGCUAAUACCGGAUAAUAUUUUGAACCGCAUGGUUCAAAAGUGAAAGACGGUCUUGCUGUCACUUAUAGAUGGAUCCGCGCUGCAUUAGCUAGUUGGUAAGGUAACGGCUUACCAAGGCAACGAUGCAUAGCCGACCUGAGAGGGUGAUCGGCCACACUGGAACUGAGACACGGUCCAGACUCCUACGGGAGGCAGCAGUAGGGAAUCUUCCGCAAUGGGCGAAAGCCUGACGGAGCAACGCCGCGUGAGUGAUGAAGGUCUUCGGAUCGUAAAACUCUGUUAUUAGGGAAGAACAUAUGUGUAAGUAACUGUGCACAUCUUGACGGUACCUAAUCAGAAAGCCACGGCUAACUACGUGCCAGCAGCCGCGGUAAUACGUAGGUGGCAAGCGUUAUCCGGAAUUAUUGGGCGUAAAGCGCGCGUAGGCGGUUUUUUAGUCUGAUGUGAAAGCCCACGGCUCAACCGUGGAGGGUCAUUGGAAACUGGAAAACUUGAGUGCAGAAGAGGAAAGUGGAAUUCCAUGUGUAGCGGUGAAAUGCGCAGAGAUAUGGAGGAACACCAGUGGCGAAGGCGACUUUCUGGUCUGUAACUGACGCUGAUGUGCGAAAGCGUGGGGAUCAAACAGGAUUAGAUACCCUGGUAGUCCACGCCGUAAACGAUGAGUGCUAAGUGUUAGGGGGUUUCCGCCCCUUAGUGCUGCAGCUAACGCAUUAAGCACUCCGCCUGGGGAGUACGACCGCAAGGUUGAAACUCAAAGGAAUUGACGGGGACCCGCACAAGCGGUGGAGCAUGUGGUUUAAUUCGAAGCAACGCGAAGAACCUUACCAAAUCUUGACAUCCUUUGACAACUCUAGAGAUAGAGCCUUCCCCUUCGGGGGACAAAGUGACAGGUGGUGCAUGGUUGUCGUCAGCUCGUGUCGUGGGAUGUUGGGUUAAGUCCCGCAACGAGCGCAACCCUUAAGCUUAGUUGCCAUCAUUAAGUUGGGCACUCUAAGUUGACUGCCGGUGACAAACCGGAGGAAGGUGGGGAUGACGUCAAAUCAUCAUGCCCCUUAUGAUUUGGGCUACACACGUGCUACAAUGGACAAUACAAAGGGCAGCGAAACCGCGAGGUCAAGCAAAUCCCAUAAAGUUGUUCUCAGUUCGGAUUGUAGUCUGCAACUCGACUACAUGAAGCUGGAAUCGCUAGUAAUCGUAGAUCAGCAUGCUACGGUGAAUACGUUCCCGGGUCU
rnacentral:rRNA from 1 species